GGCGAAAAGUUGCUCCAUGGAAUCCAGGCUGCUUAGGAGCAUGAAUAAAAUCGCGCACAAGGCAGCAUUGGAAAACCCAGGCUACC